UACGUAGGGUGCAAGCGUUGUCCGGAAUUAUUGGGCGUAAAGAGCUCGUAGGCGGUUUGUCGCGUCGAAUGUGAAAACCCGGGGCUCAACCCCGGGCCUGCAUUCGAUACGGGCAGACUAGAGUUCGGUAGGGGAGUCUGGAAUUCCUGGUGUAGCGGUGAAAUGCGCAGAUAUCAGGAGGAACACCGGUGGCGAAGGCGGGACUCUGGGCCGGAUACUGACACUGAGGAGCGAAAGCGUGGGGAGCAAACAGG
rnacentral:rRNA from 1 species